rnacentral:rRNA from 1 species
UACCGGAUGUGCCGAAAGGUGAAAGGCUUGCUGCCUGAAGAUGAGCUCGCGUCUGAUUAGCUAGUAGGUGUGGUAAGAGCGCACCUAGGCGACGAUCAGUAGCUGGUCUGAGAGGAUGAUCAGCCACACUGGGACUGAGACACGGCCCAGACUCCUACGGGAGGCAGCAGUGGGGAAUUUUCCGCAAUGGGCGAAAGCCUGACGGAGCAAUACCGCGUGAGGGAGGAAGGCUCUUGGGUUGUAAACCUCUUUUCUCAAGGAAUAAGAAAGUGAAGGUACUUGAGGAAUCAGCAUCGGCUAACUCCGUGCCAGCAGCCGCGGUAAUACGGAGGAUGCAAGCGUUAUCCGGAAUGAUUGGGCGUAAAGCGUCCGCAGGUGGCAUUGUGUGUCUGCUGUUAAAGAGUGAGGCUUAACCUCAUAAAAGCAGUGGAAACUACAAAGCUAGAGUGCGUUCGGGGCAGAAGGAAUUCCUGGUGUAGCGGUGAAAUGCGUAGAGAUCAGGAAGAACACCGGUGGCGAAGGCGUUCUGCUAGGCCGCAACUGACACUGAGGGACGAAAGCUAGGGGAGCGAAAGGGAUAGU